rnacentral:lncRNA from 1 species
AUAUAAAAGUAGGAGGGACAAGGGACAAAUAAUACCAUGGUUGUUUUAGUAAAGCCUUAAGGAAUCAUCAUUUUAUAAUUACCCCAGAAUUGUAUACAAUACAUAUAAAUGUAUUAUGUGUGUAUUCAAUAUAUAUAUGUAUAUAUAUAUAUGUAAGUUAUGCCACUUAGCUGACAGUGCUCCCCACAAUAACCAUAGACUAAUAAAAAUCCCAGGUACAAGAAACCUCCGUUAGAAUGGUUGGUCAGGGUAGUCCAAGUGACUCCCAACACAAUAUCAAUUAAUAAUGUAGCCUUUGGUUGCCUCCCAGAAAUUGAAGGUAAGCUCCUUUUGUUGAACACAGGACAUUCUUGGGACCCAAGACUCAAAUACUCUGGCUGGAUCUAACCUGAAAGCCUCCAUCCCACAGUCUACUCUUUCAAUGGUAGCAGAAAAUACUGUACAAUGUGCCAAGUAAGGGAAACAAUUGCUUGAAUACAAGAUCAUUAAGAAAAGGAGUUUCAGUUUUAAGAAAAUCAGAAUAGGGAACUUGAAGCAUAUGCUAUGUAGAACCGCCUUGUAUGAUCAGACCAAUUUGUUUGGCAAUGUGUUUACAAUUCCCUAGUACGUGGCUGUAUUUGUUCAUUUUUCUAAAUGAGUAUUUGUCUAAACUACAUGGCUAACUAUGAAUAUGAAAUCUGUAUUGAUUGUUAGUAGACUGAAUUGGGAAUGGAAUUCAUAGGGAACCAAUGGCUCAAGCCAUAGAAAAUAUAACCCAAAAUGUAUGCGAACCAGAUCUUGAACUUACAUGAUUAUGAUUGGUACCAAAGCUUUGAAGUGAAGGCAGUACAAAGCUAUGUAGUCCCUUUUUCUCACCACUCUUUCAGUGCCCAAAUGGUGACAUGUUGAAUCUGUGUUAUUGAUGAUAAGGAAAUACCAUCAUAAGUAGAGUCUAGAACCGCCUGUCUUCUGCUCCCAAUUUGCCUCAGUUCAUUGUGGCUUGCAUUGCUGUGGACUUAAAACAGAAUGCCUCCUUACAAAUGAAACAGUCUCACAGUCCCCUGGCAUUUCAUCCCUCUACUCCCAUUUCAGUAAAUGAAUUAUUGAUGACUGAGUUAGAGCAACCCUUCCCUAGGUUGCCUCCUGUUAGAUAUUCUCCCUGCUUAAGCCAUGGCAGUGCGUGUGUGACAGAAGAUGAUACCAUUGUAUCAUAUUGGAUGUGCUGUGUGUGGCUUCAGAAUCUAAUUGCUCUGCAAAAGAAACCACCCUAGAAGUUAAGGUUCAUUUUCUUAAAUGAAUAGAGUUGGUUUUUCUUUUUUUCAUUUUCUUUUUUAUCUCUCAUUUUUGGGACUUAACCAAAGAAGAUAGAAAUAUAUUUCCUUUGAUUCUUUAAUCUUUCACACAUUUCCUGUGGUUUUUAAGAAUGUUAGUAUGAUACAGAAACCAGUGUGUGUGUGUGUGUGUGUGUGUGUGUGUGUGUGUGUGUGUGUGUGUGUGUAUUUCUUAUUUCUGCACAGCUGUUGCCAGGAGAUAAUAUUCUAAUGCAAAAGCCAAUGCAUUUAGAUUAUACGAGAAAUAUAGUAGCUCAGUACUAGACUGAAAACCCCACACUGUAAGAUCUGUGACCAUAACAUUAGUAACAUUAGUAAUUAUUAUUAGUUAUCCAUAAUUUAGGAGAACAGACAAAACUUAUGAAAGAAGAGGAGGGCUCUUACCAAUGUUUAAAUUGCCUUUCUAUAUAGUUUCUAAAAUCUUCCUUUAAUAUAUUUUCAAGAUUUUAAUAUAUUUUCAGUUCCACCUAGUAGUUGCUUGGUUUCUGCAGAUCAAAUAAAUUCAUGCACAAUAACAUUGACUACAAAUACAAUUCCUAGAGUCUUCACACUAAGAAUAUUUUACAUUUUUCAUAUACAGCUGCUGUAGGCUAUUGAAGCUGCUGUAACAAUGUGUCUUAGAUUAGAUAAUCUAUACAUAUAAAGAAU